UACGUAGGGCGCAAGCGUUGUCCGGAAUUAUUGGGCGUAAAGAGCUCGUAGGCGGUUUGUCGCGUCUGUCGUGAAAGCUUGGGGCUUAACCCCAAGUCUGCGGUGGAUACGGGCAGACUAGAGGCAGGUAGGGGAGAACGGAAUUCCCGGUGUAGCGGUGAAAUGCGCAGAUAUCGGGAGGAACACCGGUGGCGAAGGCGGCUCACUGGACCGGAACUGACGCUGAGGCGCGAAAGCGUGGGGAGCGAACAGG
rnacentral:rRNA from 1 species